rnacentral:rRNA from 1 species
CCUACGGGAGGCAGCAGUGGGGAAUUUUGGACAAUGGGCGAAAGCCUGAUCCAGCAAUGCCGCGUGUGUGAAGAAGGCCUUCGGGUUGUAAAGCACUUUUGGCGGGAACGAAACAGCGCUUGCUAAUACCGAGCGCUAAUGACGGUACCCGCAGAAUAAGCACCGGCUAACUACGUGCCAGCAGCCGCGGUAAGACGUAGGGUGCAAGCGUUAAUCGGAAUUACUGGGCGUAAAGCGUGCGCAGGCGGUUUUGUAAGACAGAUGUGAAAUCCCCGGGCUCAACCUGGGAACUGCAUUUGUGACUGCAAGGCUAGAGUGCGUCAGAGGGAGGUGGAAUUCCGCGUGUAGCAGUGAAAUGCGUAGUGAUGCGGAGGAACACCGAUGGCGAAGGCAGCCUCCUGGGAUGACACUGACGCUCAUGCACGAAAGCGUGGGGAGCAAACAGGAUUAGAUACCCUGGUAGUCCACGCCCUAAACGAUGUCAACUAGUUGUCGGGGAUUCGUUUCCUUGGUAACGCAGCUAACGCGUGAAGUUGACCGCCUGGGGAGUACGG